CAAACAGGUAGUGCAGGUAAGGUCAUCUGUGGGUGGAGAGAACUUGAUUCACAUGCAAACAAGUGAUGACAUGCAGUAUAUGACAGGGUGAGAACACUGAUUAUAAGGAUAUGUGUCGUGGCAGCAAUGAUACAUAGUAAAAGAAACGUCUAGUACACAUGGUUCAGCCAGCAGAACACAUCAGGACAUUAGGAGUUUCUCUACUUUCGUGGAACAUGACAGCAAUGGCUUUUACAAUCUGUUUUUUGAGUUUGGAGUUCAUUGGACUGGCUUUGAAGGAUGUUGAAUUUCCUCAUAAUCUUUUUGAGAACAAGAUCAAUUCUUGUUUUUCAAUUUUUUCAGGCUUAAAGGAAUCAGAAUUUUCUUUUUUGGAACAUUUCAACCAGUUUCCUCCAACAAAUUUUGUCAAAAUGUUUUUAUCGUAUUACCCAAGACAUCGGAGAGAGAAAAUAACACUCCAACACUGCAGGCCAGCAGAGAAGGCCUUGCUGGCCCUGACGGCCCACCACUGCUGCUGUGUUCUCUCACUCAGGCCCAACCAGUGAAGGAGGAAAAUAUUUCUGUCCCAAUCCAGUGUGAGUCUGACCCAAAUGGUUUAAAUGGAACCACUGUGUAUGGUGACGAAACUUUUGUAAGUAUGUGGACAAUCAAAAAUGUGUUUAUUUAUUGUGAUGAAUGUGAUACCCAAUCAUGUUUGCCUUCAUGAUCCAAAGGGCAGUGUUUUCGUUUUGAGGCAUUUUAAAAAUGAGACACUAUUCCUCAUUGGUCCAAACUCCCUCACCCAAACAGCCUCUGACUUUCACCUCACCAUUGAUAACUCUACCCUGUGUUUUGUCCACCUCAAAAACAUCUCUCAUCUCCGUUCUUCACUUUCCUUCCCCGCCGCUGAAACUCUAACUCACGCCUUUAUCACAUCCCGCCUUGACUACUGCAAUAGCAUCCUCUUUGGUACAACCUCCACACUCCUAAAUAAACUGUAAUACAUCCAAAUCA
rnacentral:lncRNA from 1 species